ACAACAGUGACAAAACACCAUCAAGCAGUUGCCUCUUGGCUAGCAUCCUCAGCAAACCCUCAUGACUGUUGACUCAAAUGAGCAGCCCAGCAAGUGACCAGGAUGGUGACCUUAGAAAAUGCAAGAACAAAAUUGGCAGAGAACAAGCAGCCUCCUCCUUUUGACGCAUGAGUGCAUGAAUUGUCUUCUCUCAGCACGAUGCUGAAUUAAAAUUGUCCUAGCAGAUGGUUAGGAUUGAUAAUCACCUCUAUUGUGUUACUCUGGACGUGUCCAUACAUCUGACUGGGAAAUAGAAGCACCUUCCAGGGUCCCACACUGCACAGCAACCUGCCUGUCUGGCCAUAACCAGGCUGGGGCUGUGUCUGCUCCUGAAACUGAUCUUGACUGUCCUGAUUUGUCCUGUGGGAGAAGACUACUGAGCCUACAAGGAUAUCAAUAGUGCCAGUGGACACCCAUGCAAGACCUGCUUGUGGGGAGGAGUGAGCUAGCUUGUGUUCAAACAAUCCCAUAUUUGAAAGAAUAGCAGUAACUCAGUUGCAACUAAAUAAGUUUUUUUGGUGGUCUAAACCUGUAAAUAAGUCAGACAUGGGUGACAUAUUGUCAUGCUAACCACAUCUUGUUGGGUAUAAUAACGCAUUCAGGUUUGUUCACCCCACUUUGGGAAGGACACUUUUGUCCUUGGGUGACACACCUUGGACACAGGUUUUACUUAACAUGUCAGAUUGUAGUGCAAGCAGUUAGACCUCAGUCUGAGACUGACUUACCUUGAAUUCACCCAAAGUUUAUAAAACAGAAUACCAGUUGAGUGGAGGAUGACAAAGGACAUCUCCUCUGCUGUAUGCAGACCCACAGACCAAAAAUAAAAGGGCUCAUGGAUGGAUGGAAAUCAAGAUUAAUUCCUCUACCUAGCAUGAAUUCAAACUGGAAUCCAGUGCCAUUCAAUCAAAUAUUUUGACUGGAUUUUUUAAAAGUGAUGGAUUAGUUAAAAGUUAUUAUUCACUGUAACUACACAUAAAAACAGAUAAAUAUGUGACUAUUUAAGCUGAAUGCUCCUUCCUGGCUUCAAAAUUGUACAGCUUAGGGCAAAGUUUGUCUAUCUAAAAGUAAUCAAACCUAAUGCUUCAUGCUGUACAGUAACCUUCUUGCCUGAAGAGGUCAGGAAUGAAAUAUUUCCCCACACUAAUGGGUAAACUCAGUUUUAUUUUUCAGCAGUUGACAUGUUCUUGAGCUACUUGCUUAUUAAUGCUGGAAACACAAUGUGCCACUGUCUAAUUCUUUGUGGCAGGGGUGUUGCUACUCCAGUUAGGAGAAUAUGAUUAACACCCCAGUAAGGAGGGAAUAGUUGGUCCCUUUGCAUCUCAAGGUGCGGCUCAACCGUUCCUCUGUGGUCCUCCAACUUUCAGUCAGCUUUUCAUUUCCUUACACUUUCAGUCAACCCAAUGCAAUUAUUAAGGUACUCUGCAAUUCUCUGUGCCCAGGAUUUACCCAUUAAACCACAUCAGGCAUGAAAGUGACGCAGGCAGUGGGUAACGGCGGAUCUUGUGCACCUGUAGGUACAAAAUUCAUUGAGUACACCUCUGUCUAAUGAGAAAGCACAGGUGCUCUGACAAGAAAGAACAACAAAUAAAGAAAAAAGUCUCAAUCCUGUCAAAUACUAUGUGUGUAUCAAGGAUCUGGAAUAUAAAGCAGACUUAACAGCAAUCACAUUUAGAGUAGAAUUCACUUGAAUGUAACACCUUCUCCUUCUAAGGUUUUGAGCGUGGUAUCUUAAAGAAGAUCACACAAAUUACUCAUCGCAGGAACAAAGGCUCUUUUUUGAAAGCUGUCAGGUUGCUGACAGUUAUGAUUAGCAUUUACUUCAGGCUUGUAAAACAUAUUAAUCAAACUUGUUCCUAUAGCUUUAGUCCAAGGAGGGUUACUGUUUCUUUUAGAUAAAUUUUUAACAUAAAUGAAGAGCUCUGACUAUGUAUACACCUUGAAUGUGAACCAUUGUCUAUGCCAUUCAUUUAUUUGUAAUGAAUAAAUACUGGUCUAUGCCAGGCUUAAGGAAGAUUGAAGCAGCAUAUGGAAAUCUGUUUAUGACAAGACUAUUUGCCAAAGACCUAUGCACCAUUCACUGAACCUUGAAAAACAUUUGAAAAUAUGGGUUGCAUUUGCAAACUUCAAUGUAUGACAUGGAGAGCUGGCAAGCUGCCUGGUUUCUACUUAAAGGAUUGUCAUUCUGGGAAAAAUAAAUUUCUCUAACUAGACAAAAGUCAAUGUUUUCAUGUUUUACUGCAAUCAAACUGAUAUGGCUGACAAUUUAAUGUCUCAACACUUAAAAUAACUGGAUAAUCAGUUACCUCAAUCAAUCAUAACUACAAGAUUUUUCUAUUUUCAAAGCUUGUAUACACAUGACUGAGAUAUUUAAUAAUUUAGAGAAACCUCCCCAUCUUUAAUCCUUCAUGAUUUCUCUUGAGCUGUGAAGUUCUUUUUUUUUGCCAAAUGCAUGAUUUUAUAAUUGCUGUGGGGAAAAAAAUAAUUCCAACCCUGCAUUGUAAUUAUAUUUUGAAACCUUUGUGUUAAUGUCCUGUUUUAUUUAAUUUUAUGUAUAUUUUAUAGUCUGCUUGCCUGUCAAAAAGAUGUGGAAAUGUGCUGGCAUUACAGCUGAAGACAUCCUUAUGAGUGAGAAAAUGCUCAAGGCUUUUUCAAAGUGGGUGCUGAAACACACAUUUCUCAUCUUUGGCUCCAGGGGAUGCUAACAGCUGGCCCACCAGACAGGUAUUUCAGGGUCAAAGGCUAGCAGAGCUGUGCACAUUCAGGAUUUGGCUGCCAGUAAAGGAAAUGGGUAUUUUCUCAAAACUAAUAAAAAUAGCAACAAUGAUGAGAAGAAGGAGCUGACAACAAAAAUGAAAAGGAACCUGCAAGAAGUGAAUUCUGGGUAGCACAACACUUGCAGAGCUGAUUUUAAUAUCUGACAGGCUGAGUUCACUAAUCUUUGGUAUUCAUAUUGACGUGAAACUUCAUACUGUUUUAGAGAUUUUAUUUAUUAAGACAUGCAGCAGUGUUCCUACAACAUGGGAACAAGUUUGCUAGCAUUUGCCAUUCUUCUUCCUCUGUGAUAAAAAUUGGUAUGAACUUUUUAAAAUGCCUAACAGAUAAUUACACAACACUCAAUAAUGAAAGCUACAUCUUUAGAGCCUCCUUUAUCUUUAAAAAAUAACAAAAAAACCCAAGCCCAAAGCUCAGUAACAAGACAAAACCUUUCCCCCCUCAUUUUCCUCCCUCUCUUUUGUUUCUUUGAUUACUUGGUGCCUUGUAAUCAAACUAAGCUUAGUUUUGGGACCCUUGGGGCAGUAUCUCUUAGCUCCCUGUCAGACUGAGUUGCAAAACAAUCAAUCUUGCUCUUGCACUGGCUUGGUGGAUGUGUCAGGACACGAGGAGUGCAAUGCUUUACUCUUGCUGUGAAGCUUCGAUGACAAAAGUUUUUAUCAGAAGCUGACUGUAUUUAAGAUUAUGAAUAUGCAAUGACUCUCAUUAGUAUUGAAGCACAGGAACACGGGCUGACAUCCCCCGCCACUUUUAGCUGCUGCAGAGUUGUCUAAUGAAUUGUCUUGCUCUUUCACUUGAACAGACUUUGCUGUUAUGGUUCCCAGCUCUAAGGGGAGUUGCCUGGUUUGAGAAUACUAUUGAUGGCAGAAAUCAAUUGCCAAGAGCUGCUCUUGAUUUUGUUGAAACAGUGUUGAAGCGGUGUGUAAAUUUUCAAAACAGAAAACCAUUAAACUCUACAGGAGACAAAGUCAUCACAGGAUUGUCUGUUCUCAUCAACUGGAGAAAAAAUAAAGAACAUCUACAUGUUGGGAGUAUCAAAUACAAGAGCAGUUUAAAAUAGAUGCAGUUGUGACAAAAGUGGCUCAAGUAUCAUACAUCAAACACUUGUUACCUCUCUUUGCCUUAGUGAUUGCAUGUGACUAAGAAAGAGUGAGUGAUAAAAUCUGAAGAAAGAUGAAACCAAUCUGGGGCUUUUUAAAGAUCAUCAAUCAUUCUGUGCAGCCAUGAUAUUAUUAGUUCCAGUAAGCCUUGUUCUCCCAUUUUAUGAACAUCAUAAACCCCCCACCCCUAGACCAGUGUUAUCAUGGGGAAUCAUUUUUAUGGGCAGCAUCUUAGUGUAGGCCAAUCAGAUCUAAUCACAUAACAAGCUACUGAAUUAUUCAACGUUCUCCCUAAUUUUGCAUUCUUCCUGCACUUUGCUGUCACUGCAGGGUUUUAAAAGUAUGUGUUUUUACAAUAUUUAUUAAGAAUAUAACCAUAAGCAGGAAUUUUGCUUUCUCUAUUUCUUCCAAUAAACAUUUGUUCCUUGGAUUGUUGCAGUAUAUACAUUACUAUAUAAAGAAUACAAAAAAAAAAAAAAAAAAAAAAAAAGAAACCCACAGUGUGGCACUCGGCUUUAAAUUCUUUCAGCUUUUAAAAGACUGAAUGUAAAGACAACAAUAGCAAAACAAUUGUGUUCAAACAUAAAAUAUUCAGAUUUACUGAGCAAACUGUAACCAGCAUGUCCCUUAGCUGUUGCUAUGAAUACAGGGCUUACAUUGUAUAUAAAAAUAUUUCAGUUUUAAUUGCAAAUCUGUGCAGAGAUGAUUUGGGGUGUGUAAUUAACACAUAAAUUCCAGACUUUGUGACUGCUGUGAAAACACACAUUAUUUAUGGAACUAUUAUCUAAAUAUAAUUCAGCGUUAUUUGCUUUCAGCAACUACUGUAAAAGUCUGAUUUAAUAAAAUGUGAAAAAUU